UACGGAGGGGACUAGCGUUGUUCGGAAUUACUGGGCGUAAAGCGCACGUAGGCGGAUUUGUAAGUCAGGGGUGAAAUCCCGGGGCUCAACCUCGGAACUGCCUUUGAUACUGCAAAUCUCGAGUCCGGAAGAGGUGAGUGGAAUUCCUAGUGUAGAAGUGAAAUUCGUAGAUAUUAGGAAGAACACCAGUGGCGAAGGCGGCUCACUGGUCCGGUACUGACGCUGAGGUGCGAAAGCGUGGGGAGCAAACAGG
rnacentral:rRNA from 1 species